AUUGAACGCUGGCGGCAUGCUUUACACAUGCAAGUCGAGCGAGCGGCGGACGGGUGAGUCAUGUAUGGGAACCUACCUGAUGGAGGGGGAUAACUACUGGAACCGGUAGCUAAUACCGCAUACUAUCAGAUCUGCCCAUAUGUGAUUAGCUAGUUGGUGGGGUAAUGGCUCACCAAGGCGACGAUCCAUAGCUGGUCUGAGAGGAUGACCAGCCACAAUGGAACUGAGACACGGCCCAGACUCCUACGGGAGGCAGCAGUGGGGAAUAUUGGACAAUGGGCGCAAGCCUGAUGCAGCCAUGCCGCGUGUGUGAAGAAGGCCUUCGGGUUGUAAAGCACUGUCAGCAGGGAAGCGUUACUCGCAGAAGAAGCACCGGCUAACUACGUGCCAGCAGCCGCGGUAAUUC
rnacentral:rRNA from 1 species